UAGUCCUAGCCGUAAACGAUACUCGCUAGGUGUCGGCCACGGUGCGACCGUUGUCGGUGCCGUAGGGAAGCCGUGAAGCGAGCCACCUGGGAAGUACGGCCGCAAGGCUGAAACUUAAAGGAAUUGGCGGGGGAGCACCACAACGGGUGGAGCUUGCGGUUUAAUUGGAUUCAACGCCGGAAAUCUUACCGGGACCGACAGCAACAUGAAGGCCAGGCUGAAGACUUUGCCGGAUUAGCUGAGAGGUGGUGCAUGGCCGUCGUCAGUUCGUACUGUGAAGCAUCCUGUUAAGUCAGGCAACGAGCGAGACCCACGCCCACAGUUGCCAGCGUACUCUCCGGAGUGACGGGUACACUGUGGGGACCGCCGCUGCUAAAGCGGAGGAAGGAAUGGGCAACGGUAGGUCAGUAUGCCCCGAAUAUCCCGGGCUACACGCGAGCUACAAUGGUUGGUACAAUGGGUAUCUACCCCGAAAGGGGAUGGAAAUCUCCUAAAGCCAAUCUUAGUUCGGAUUGAGGGCUGCAACUCGCCCUCAUGAAGCUGGAAUCCGUAGUAAUCGCGUUUCAACAGAACGCGGUGAAUACGUCCGUGAUCCUUGCACACACCGCCCGUCAAACCACCCGAGUAGGGUCUGAAGGCGAGCGCUUCCGUUGGAGGCGUUCGAAUUUGCAAUAGCAAGGGGGGUUAAGUCGUCACAAGGUAACCAAGGGCGAAUU
rnacentral:rRNA from 1 species